AUACACGGUACAGAAACAACUACAACUUUAUUAUUACAAUAGUAAAACUGUGAGUUUAAAUACAGAUAUUGCCAUCUAGACAAUAUCCACAUACAAAUAAAUUCUCAUCAUAAUUAUUGAUACAUUAUUUUACAACAAUGGUGAGGACUACUAAACAACUCUCCCUAGAACUUUCAUUCCAUACCCCGACUCGUACUCGCUAUAUUCUCGCCUCCUGAGAAGAAAAAUGGAACAAAAAGGAAA
rnacentral:lncRNA from 1 species